rnacentral:rRNA from 1 species
GGUUAAGCGACUAAGCGUACACGGUGGAUGCCCUGGCAGUCAGAGGCGAUGAAGGGCGUGCUAAUCUGCGAUAAGCGCCGGUAAGGUGAUAUGAACCGUUAUAACCGGCGAUACCCGAAUGGGGAAACCCAGU